rnacentral:rRNA from 1 species
UACCAGCACCCCGAGUGGUCGGGACGUUUAUUGGGCCUAAAGCAUCCGUAGCCGGUUCUACAAGUCUUCCGUUAAAUCCAACUGCUUAACAGGUGGGCUGCGGAAGAUACUAUAGAGCUAGGAGGCGGGAGAGGCAAGCGGUACUCGAUGGGUAGGGGUAAAAUCCGUUGAUCCAUUGAAGACCACCAGUGGCGAAGGCGGCCGGCUGGGGUGACCUGACGCUGAGGCGCGAAAGCGUGGGGAGCAAACAGG